AUUUUAUUAUUAUUAUUAUUAUUAUUGACAAUUUUUUUUCUCAUAAUUUGAUCGAAAUGAAUACAUUUGAUUUACAUAUAUAGAUGGUAGAAAAAAUAAAUUCAACAAUCAUAUAAUCAGAAGAAGAAGAAGAAGAAAAAAAAGAAAUAACAAUCAGAACAAGAACAAUUUUUUUUUGUAUUUGUUUUGAUUUACAUUACAAUUUUCGAUAUACAUCGAUUAUUUCGUUCAUCAUCGAAUCAUCAUUUGUUCAAUCCAGUGAUUCAUUUUUUUUGUUAUUGUUGUGUUAGUGGUGAGUUACAAAUCAUAAUAUAUUUGCACAUUUGACAAAAAAAAUAAAAUAAAAAUUUUUCUUUUUUUUUUUUCUUUUCUCAAAUAUAUCAACCUAAUUCAUUCAUUUCAUUCAAUAAAUAUAUAGAAUAGAAUAAUUAAUAAAAAUCAAUGAAUGAAUGAAUAAAUAAACGAAUGGAACAACAACAACAACAACAACAACAAACCUGUUCACGAAGCAAUUUAAUAGCAAAUUCACCAUCGGUCAAUUGAACUAAUCCUACUUUUCCCAUACAUUUACCUUGCCACCAAUCUGGAUCGGUUGUAUCGACUACAGUGACCAUAUAACCAGCUCUGUACAUAAAU